GCAUGAGAAUUGCUUGAACCCAGGAGGCAAAGGUUGAAGUGAGCCGAGAUUGCAUCACUACACUCCAGCCUGGGCAACAGAGCCAGACCUUGUCCCCCCUAAAAAAAAAACCACUGGAUAUCACAGUGUAGAAUCCCAGGUCACCAUAAGCCAUUCAUUUAGCCAAAAUGAUAACUCACAAAUUUUAAAAAAGAAAAAACCUUUAUUCUGGUAGAGAGCAGACAGCUCUCUUAUCUCUGAUAGAGAUCUUUCCAAACAGCAAGAUCCAGUGAAAAUAGCAUGAUGCCAACUGAAUUUGUCUCUUCUUUCCACAUCCCCCCUUUUUUUGUAGUUUACUUUAAAAGCCAAACAAAAACCUCUUAUUAUUUUUAAAUAUUACAUAAAAAUUAUUUUCAAAAGAGAAAACCAAAUUUCAUGUUUGCAUUAGUGCAUCUUUAAUGCCAAAGCUACUAGUUUAAAUAGCAUUUUACAAAUCUAUUUAGUUUUAAUUAUUUGACCAUAAGGUAAGAUUCUUAAAACGUUUUUAUAACCCUUUAUAAUAUUUUUUGUUAAAAAGCAGAACAAUCUUUUAGGACACUAUUAUGCUUUUAUUCCAAUGUUCAAUUUAUGGAAAACCAGAAUAAUACCUCUUUAACUUUAGCCAAUGUGUUUUCGCACAUUAAUUGUUUAUAAACCUUCCACAACUCAUUUAAACCUUUAGAUUUUUCCUUCUUCACUUAACACAGUCAUUUAGCCCUGUAAACUUAGGCAAGAAAUUCAUAUCCUCAUGCCUUCUUAGAAUCUUUUACCAAAAGUACGUUCUACUUUCCUUACACACUUUGUGUGUAGAACUGUUUCUUCAGUAGUCUCAAAUGCAUGUUAUGCUGUUAACUCUUAGCAACUUUUACUUUCAGUUAAAAGCCUGGUUAGUAAGCGAUUUUAAUUAUGUACCAGGUUUGCAAACUAGAACAGAUACCAGUCAGAAAUGCAGAUAAGGUCUGACUCUUUCCAGCAUAGCUAGGGGACUUGGCUACCUUCACAUGUCACCAGGCUUUACCUAGCUGUAAAGCAGAUAGGUUGUAUAGUUGAGUCACAGUGGCAGUUUAUGAAGCAUUUAGGAGACUUAAUAACCUUUAAAUUAUACAUCUCUCGCAUAAAUUCCCUUUCUUGACUUAGACCAUCUAUGACAUACUUGGACUUUCUGACUUGUCCUAAACAUCCCUCUCUUUAAACAUUUUACUUUAGGACAAGAAUUUAUCAUACAUGAUUAAUUUAUAUAAAGUCUUUUCUUUAUGGGGGCUAAUUUCACAUGUCUCCAGGCCUUAUCUAGAAUGUAAUGGCUUAAAGGUAAGUAUAUUGAACAAUUUUCAAAAGUUAAGCAGUUCAUGACCUUAGAGCAUUUAACAAACCUAAUGAGACUGUAUAUACAAGCUGUGUGUAAAUACACACAUAUAUAUAUAUAUAUAUGUAUAUAUAUAGAUAGAUAGAUAGAUAGCUUGUAUAUGUAGCUCACCUAAUUUAGAUGGAAUGUCUAAAUUUUGAAGAUAUUUUUAUUUACCAGUAAUCUUUAAAACUGUGUUCAUUACCAAAGGAUUACUAAAGUGAUAUGAACUAAAGGGCAUUAGUUUUAGUAUUUCUGACAAAAUAUCUGAUUUAAGUGCUUAUUUUUGUUUCAGCUAGUUAAUUAGAGCUUUUUUAUAUAAACAUCACACAUACAACACUUACGUAGACGAUCCAGUAGUUGUAACAUUUUUUCCUUUGCCAGUUUCUUAAGUUCAGUUGGAUUACCGGCUUCAGGGUGGAGCCCUGCAAGAAUCAGGGCUGGGAAAGCAUGUAGUUCCUAGGGCCUAAAAAGCAGGCACAGCUGAAAAGCCAAAAAAAAAAAGAAAAAAAAGAAAAAAAAAAUUCUCAAAGUUAAGGGUCCCAUUUUAAUAUUGCAUCCUGGAUUUUCAAAAGGAAAAUGUUGGAGAAUAGUGCAGUGCUUUUAGCAUGCAUUUAAUUACAUGGCAACACAAAGCCACCCCAUUUUGUUCUGUUGUUCUUGUUUUUUUGAUAUGGAAUCUUGCUAUGUCACCCAGGCUGGAGUGCCGUGGCGUGAUUUCAGCUUAUUGCAACCUCCACUUGGUAAUCAGUCCAUUUGUAAUUAGCCCUUCCCCAUGGGAGUCUCAUCUGUCACUAGAGGUUAGGGAUUUUUCCUUCCUACUUUCCAGGUGACCAAGAGCAUGCUUCUCUGAUUCAAACAUGCAGUGAGCAAAGCAUCCCUCCAUAACUGUUAUUAGCCAUCUCUUAAAGUAUAUUUUGUACCUACUUAUUACACAUCAAGGCUAAAAUCUCUCCCAUAAUGCAGAGUAAUUUCUGAUACACCCAAAAGUUAAAAAAAAAAAAAAAGUCAGGUAACAUAAAGCCGAACAGAGCCUUAGAUUUUAAGAGUAAUCUAUUGGCUUUCAAGUGGGGUUCCAUGAGGAAGACAGGUUUUUUCCAUGUUACCAGAUAUCGAAAUUAUCAGUUUUCUCAUGUGGGCAUCAGGAGGGCAAAGUGGAGAAAUAGUUGACUGAGAAGAAAACUUUUUCUCAAAAACAACCAAUAUCCGAGAAAAGAGAGAGAAAAAACAAGAGGCCUUUUAAAAUAUAUAUAGCUUGUAUAUCCAUUUUUAAUUAAGUUGAUUUUAACCAUAGAGCUUUAAAAAAAAUUUUUUUUUGUUAAUCUCUUAUUGUCAGACUCUAGCCAGGACAGUCAAUAUUUCUGGCUUUUGAACUUUGCCUUAGGUAACCUCCCAUGUGAAAUUAAUAAGUUUUAGCUAGGAUUAUAGCUUAACCAUGGACGUAUAAUUUGUUUCCAAGAGAUGGUAAGCAGUUUCUUUUUACAAGAUACAGAAUCUUCCCAAGGGUAGUUCAGAGAAAGAAAAAUUCAAGACAGGAAAUCAGAAGCUAGCCAUUGGGGUGGGGGUGGGACCAUCAAAAGUAGCAAAGUCAUACAAAUAAACCAGAGGGAACCAUUUCUGAAGCCAAGAAUUGGACCCAGGCCGCCACUGUCAAAAGGC